rnacentral:rRNA from 1 species
UUAAAUGAAUUGACGGGGCCGCACAAGCGGAGGAACAUGUGGUUUAAUUCGAUGAUACGCGAGGAACCUUACCUGGCUUAAAUGGGAGUGACAGCUGUCGAAAGAUGGUUUUCUUCGGACACUCUUCAGGGUGCUGCAUGGUUGUCGUCAGCUCGUGCCGUGAGGUGUCGGGUUAAGUCCCAUAACGAGCGCAACCCUUACCGUUAGUUACCAUCAGGUUAAGCUGGGGACUCUAGCGGGACUGCCACCGUAAGGUGAGAGGAAGUGGGGAUGACGUCAAAUCAGCACGGCCCUUAUGUCCAGGGCUACACACGUGUUACAAUGGCCAGUACAAAGGGCAGCUACCGGGUGACCGGAUGCUAAUCUCUAAAGCUGGUCUCAGUUCGGAUCGAAGUCUGCAACCCGACUUCGUGAAGCUGGAUUCGCUAGUAAUCGCGCAUCAGCCAUGGCGCGGUGAAUACGUUCCCGGGCCUU